rnacentral:rRNA from 1 species
UACGGGGGGGGCAAGCGUUGUUCGGAAUUACUGGGCGUAAAGGGCUCGUAGGCAGCCAACUAAGUCGGAUGUGAAAUCCCCAGGCUCAACCUGGGAACUGCAUCCGAUACUGGAUGGCUUGAAUCCGGGAGAGGGAUGCAGAAUUCCAGGUGUAGCGGUGAAAUGCGUAGAUAUCUGGAGGAAUACCGGUGGCGAAGGCGGCAUCCUGGACCGGCAUUGACGCUGAGGAGCGAAAGCUAGGGGAGCAAACGGG